CCAAUAGCGUAUAUUAAAGUUGUUGCAGUUAAAAAGCUCGUAGUUGAAUUUCGGGAUCAAUAUGCCGGUCAUGCCUUGGUAUGCACUGGUAUCUUUGAUUUCUCCCUUCUGACGAACUUUGAUGUCAUUAAUUUGGUGUCAUAGGGAAUCAGGACUGUUACUUUGAAAAAAUUAGAGUGUUUAAAGCAGGCUCACGCUUGAAUACAUUAGCAUGGAAUAA
rnacentral:rRNA from 1 species